CCUACGGGUGGCAGCAGUAGGGAAUAUUGCACAAUGGGGGAAACCCUGAUGCAGCAACGCCGCGUGGAGGAUGAAGGUUUUAGGAUUGUAAACUCCUUUUGUUAGAGAAGAUUAUGACGGUAUCUAACGAAUAAGCACCGGCUAACUCCGUGCCAGCAGCCGCGGUAAUACGGAGGGUGCAAGCGUUACUCGGAAUCACUGGGCGUAAAGAGUGCGUAGGCGGGGUAAUAAGUCAGAUGUGAAAUCCUGUGGCUUAACUACAGAACUGCAUUUGAAACUGUUACUCUGGAGUGUGGGAGAGGUAGGUGGAAUUAUUGGUGUAGGGGUAAAAUCCGUAGAGAUCAAGAGGAAUACUCAUUGCGAAGGCGACCUGCUGGAACAUUACUGACGCUGAUGCACGAAAGCGUGGGGAGCAAACAGGAUUAGAUACCCGAGUAGUC
rnacentral:rRNA from 1 species